AUGCACUCACAGAUCAAGUUCCACAUGCAAGUGCUAGGUUUCUCCAUUCAGCUGUUACUCAUUCCAUCCAGUUGCCAAGAAUGUGAACUUCAUAAGAAGAAACAGGUUCCAUCACUGUCCAGGGAUCAGAGUCAAAUGCUCCAAGAUCGGUGCAGUGAGCAGUCAUGGACACUUCUGGCAGCGUGAGUAAAGUUUUACCACUAGCCCCGUAGCCAAAUACAGGGGUUAGGCCUUCAUACCUCCAUUUUCUCUGAAGGUGCUGGGGCAGGCUGACCAUUGACAUUUAGCAUUCCUCCAAGCUGCCUCUGAGAUUUCAAUGGGGAUUGAGGGGUGUAGAGGGCAGAGCUGGGGCUGUGGAGAGUUCUCAAGGAGAGGGAACAAAAAGGCUCUUGGAAAUCCCAAGGAGUUCCCAUGAUCCUUGGUGAAACCUUGAUCCUUCUGUGUUAGAUUUCCAUUAUUUGGAUUAGGGUGCACAAAAGUCCAUAUUUCAGUGAUUUAUUUUUCCUCUUGCCAAGGCGUUAAACAAUGAAUUUGUGAGAUUUCCCCUGUUUUGGGAGUGAAAUGUUUAAAAUGGAUUUGAUAGUUGUGAUCUUUGUUUUUCUCAUUAUUCAGGCCCGGGAAUGUCUGGUCCGUAAUCAUUGUGUAUUCUGGGUCUGCACUGACAUUUCUUUCAGCCUUUAGAGCAGCUCGUGGUGACAUUUUGUCAUGAAAAGUUUUCAAAGUCAUAUUUCAAGGUUCUCCCUGUAACAUACAUAAUCUGUUAGCAUCAAAGGAGCACACAUGCAUAAAUAAUUGACUAAUUCACUUAAAGGGGCCAGCAUAGAUUAAUUAAGCCUGAAUACUAAUUAUGUUUUUCUGUCUACACCAACUGAAGCUGUUGUUUAAUGUGAAACUGUUUGGUGGACAACAAUUACCACAAACCUAUAAGACUAUUUAUAUCCUCUAAAUGAAAAUAGGUUUAGUUCCGAUUUAAUUUGAAAGAUUAUGUUUUGAUGCUGUUGUAGGACAGAAAUGUCAGCCAAUUCCUAUAAUGUUUUAAGUCAGGGGGGUAUUGUAGUACACACACUUUUAAAUACAUAUACCUCUAUAUACUGUACCUUGUAUUUCCAUCAUUCACAUUUUGCUGAUAUGACUUUUAUCUCAAACUGAUUGAAAAUAGCUUUUCAUGCGGUACAAUUUUUGAAUUGGAAACUGCAUAUGUAUUUGAAAGUAGAUAAAGCGGGCCUACAUAAAAGAUGACAACAAAAGCAAUUUCUGUCAGCAUUGAUUAAGCAAUAUGUUGUUUAGUUCAGUCCCAGCCUGCAGAAACCUUUCACUACACGACUAUAUACCUGUCACACACUUGCAUAUAGAUUGAAAAAAGAUUCAAUUCCAUUGUCAAUUUAGAUAUGCAUCCAUUUACUCUGUGUGGCAGUUGUUUUCCUUUCAUGGGCUAGAUUGGGAGAAUAGUCUGUAAACUAAUGCACAAUGCUGCUAUCCUAAUGAUUUUAAAAACAGUUGUUCAGAUUUGGAGCUCUCUAAUAUAAUAUAAGGAUAGAGACACAACACGUCAGCAUCAGUACGGGCCUAAUGUAUUCGCCCCUUUAAACCCCAGUAAAACUCUGUCAUUCCAAAGAAGCUCCUCUCGUUGACUCUGUGCCUGCUGCACAGACUGCUGUCUGGAAGUGGUAGGCUUUAAGUUGCUUGUUUCUGACACAGCGGACUUGGGCUGUCCUCGCUCCCCUCGUAAGCAGAUAGGGAUGAGGGAGACAGCUCAAAGCAGGGUUUGUUUACAGCCGGAUAGAAGAAAACAGCCAGACGUAAAUUAGGGUUGACGGUUUCAUGAAGCACAAUUGGUUGAUGGCAGAUUCAAUGUGACUGCCCUGAACUGGGCGAUGAUCCGUACAGUAUGCAAAAUUUACUUUCUAGCUGGUCUGUGCCCACCAGCCUAGCAGCAGUCUUCUCCCCGAGCCCUCACAGCUCCGGCUUUGAAUGGAACCCGAACUGAACAAGGCAUUGUUGUACCCAAUUCCUUUUGACAACAAUCACAUUCUUUUAAAAAACUUCAUAGAUUUUUCUUGUCACCAGUUAUAAAUGAUUUUUUUCUCAUCUUGACCACAAAGUAAGCAUUUUUUUAAUGUGCAGAUUCAAUUAGGGAAGGAAGGGGCAUGGUUUUGAGCAGUAGAUUCCUUCAAAUGACAACACAAUGAAUUCAGGGCAUUUUUUACUUUGGUAUUCAGGGCUUGUUAUAAUACACUAGAGCUUCUUGGCACAUGACUCCAAUACAGCAACAUGCAUUUAAUAUAUUUAUGUUCAUUGGAAAGACAUGUCAGAAGAUAUUUGCCCCUCUGUAGUUUAUCCUGCUCGUGAUGUUGUUAGAAUUGGAACAGUUGUUCAGAUUCCUAAAAUCCAAGCUGGCAGAAUCGUCACAUUAUGCCACCACUAUUACCUUGUUUUUGUCACUUGCAUGUUUUAGAAAUGAAACAUCUGCAUGCUGCAUCCUGUUAGGGCACACUGGGUGACUGUCGUUGUGGAAACCAAGGAAUUAAAAGAGAAACAUGGAUUCUGUUAGCUCUCUAAAUGGAGUGGAUUAAGUGAAGUUUUCUGAAUUAGAUUUUUACUGACAAUGACCAAAAGCGUUCUGCCCGCAGCAUGUGGACUCUCCAUGUGUACAUUUACUGAAAUGGUUUACUGAUGUUUAUCUUUAACAGGAACUGAACUCAAGACAAUACAUUCAUGCAAAUCUCAAAAUGUGUUGACAUUUUGUGGAAGAUAGAGCUUAUUCAUAAUUUGAGGAAUAAGACCAACUUCCAUUUUUAAUUUAGCCACACCUGAUGUGCAGAUGUACAUUUCAACAUCUUGAGUUUGUCUUUUGAUGUUGGUUUUAGUGUUACUGACGGCAGACUACAGUUUGCCUUUCUAAGCAGCAGAUUGAUGCACAUAAUACAGAAAUGCAGAAAGUCCUACGACAUAACAACAGACUCAGCUUGACUCAAACAGAUAGGGAAAACAUGUCUGGAAUAAGCCUGGGCAAUAAUGCAGCAUUAUCAAGAAUCCCACGACAACAGUACAUGUAAAUGCACUGAAUAAGAUGUCUCUUUAAAGGCAGUGUUAAAGGGAUUGGGAAUGAUACAUUUGUAUAUUUUCUAUAGGGAAGGAAGCAAAUAUGGAUAUUUCAUAGUAAUACGAAGGAUGUAUAGUUCAUUUUAUUCUGGCCUAAGAUAAAACAUAAUGCGUGAUAAUUAAAUGGGAUUUAUGUGAGUUUUUUUGCCUUCCUCUUCAAAGUGCCUUAGUCUCAAGGGCAAAAACAAUGAUUUGAAAAAUAAAGGCGUGCUAUCCGCCCACAUUGUGCUAAUUUGAUGAUUAAUUACACUAGCUAACUAAAGACCAGCCCCAAAAAUGUCUCAAUGUAUCCUACAAUACCACAUACAAUACAUGCCUACUGUCAUUUACUGUCAAUUCCUCACCAUGCUGCAUUACUGCAUAUUCUAUACAGUAUUUUUUAAACGUAAACAGCAGUUUCAUAGUAUAUUCAUCUCAAAUUGUCCUUCAAUAUUAAUGAGUAUGGUUUGUAGGUUACCAUGAAACUUAAACAACAAAAACCCAAGCACUAUUUUGCAUGCUGCUGCAUCUUUUUUGAAUUACUAACUCAGCCUGUUAUGGAAUCAUAUAAACUG
ensembl:lncRNA